ACGAUUAAAAUAUUCCAUCUCAAUAUGUAAUUGAUAACAUAAAUAUUCAUUUCAUUUAAAUAAUCAACAUGACUUAUGAAUAUCUUAAAAGCUUGGCUCCUGUCAAAAUCAUUCUCGGGAAUACCUUGGCCGAGGCAUUUAACCGAGUCCGCCAAGGCUGUUAAAUAAUUUUGUAUACACAUAAACAUAUUUUUAGUUUGAAAAACACAGUCGUUCCUUGGCGUUAGCGGAGUUCAUCAUCACGAGGUGGUUCGGCGUGACGUGAACUCUAACCAUACCUCAGGAGAUACCCUACGUGCCUCUCCGACUAAGGUACAUAUAUAACUGGAUUCUGUGCCCCUCUAAUAAGCUGGUCCAUAAAACUCGCCCACUGCAGCAAGCUAAACCCACCAUACAAUAAAAUUUUGACAGCAUGACAUGACUAAUAUUAUACUACCCAGCCUAUAAAUGUAAAACAGAAUAAUUCAUACAGUUCACAAACCGCAAUUCCAGCCAGUCAUGCCAACACAUUAUCAUAAGCCAUCAAUUAGAACCAUAAAUUACAAUACAUCAAGUGGUCUCCAGUUACUCUAUUUUCAAAGCCAUCAUUCAAUUUCAAGACAAUUUAUAAAAUCAUUUCAUUUAAACACAUUUUGUUUAUAAAACCUAAAAGUUAACCAUUUAAACUCAUUUUCCAUAAAAUUCACAAAAAAAUUGAAUAAAAAGACCACUUUAGAUAAUUAAAAUGAUAAUAAGGUUACUCAUAAUACUAGGAGUUCGAUAUACUCCUAUUCGCGGUCUUCGGACACAAUCUCUUUACCCUUGUUAGAGGGUUCACCACCUAUACAUCAUACAUGACAUGAAUUUCAAUAAAUUGUGUCAAUUUAUCAUAAACUAUUUCAGGCUCUAUAAAUCUAUAUGAAAGCAUGAAAUGUGAUGCAAAUGUCUGAAUAGCCAUUUAAAUACGGUAUUCGACCUAAUUCGCACUAUUCUCGGUGUAAUUGGCUAAAACCUCCAAUUUAACUCUAAAUCGAUUUCUUUCACUUUCUACACUCCAAUUAUACUUAAAAUAACUCAAUGACUAUGAAUAUGAUUCAAUUUAUCAAUCCGGACCAUAAAUCGCACAUGUCUAUACAUUAGGUAAAAAUUCAUAUUUUUAUACCAAAAUUUCCCAUUAAAUUUUUAGCCUCACCAAUCAUUAAAUACCACCAAAAUGCCAUGAAAUAUCAUCAAUUUCAGCCUCAAUAUCCUCCCUAGAAAAUUCAGCCUCUUGUGGGUUUGUGAAGAACAAAGUGAUUCCUUGCUAGAUUUUCAUACUUUCCAUUACCAAACAACCAAAAACACUUAAUUAGCUUGAAAUCUAGCAAAAUCAAUGCUCGAAACCCCUCCUCUCAAAUUCGGCCAGCAUGGGUUCAUCAUGAAAACUUGAGUUCUAAGCAUGGAAAAUGAAAAAGAAAGCAUGGGUAGUGUAAAUCACAAAAUAAAAUCACAAAAUUUUACCUUUAUUAGCUUAAGCCCUUGAAAUCCCACACUUUUUCUUCAAUUUUCCCACCUAGGGUUUGUGUUCUUUCCUUUCCUCUUCACUUCAUACUUU
rnacentral:lncRNA from 1 species